rnacentral:piRNA from 1 species
UCUCUCAUAACUUUUUGCUGA